rnacentral:rRNA from 1 species
GAUGAACGCUGACAGAAUGCUUAACACAUGCAAGUCAACUUGAACUUCGGUUUGGGUGGCGGACGGGUGAGUAACGCGUAAAGAACUUGCCUCACAGAUAGGGACAACAUUUGGAAACGAAUGCUAAUACCUGAUAUUAUGAUUAUAUGGCAUCGUAUAAUUAUGAAAGCUAUAUGCGCUGUGAGAGAGCUUUGCGUCCCAUUAGCUAGUUGGAGAGGUAACGGCUCACCAAGGCGAUGAUGGGUAGCCGGCCUGAGAGGGUGAUCGGCCACAAGGGGACUGAGACACGGCCCUUACUCCUACGGGAGGCAGCAGUGAGGAAUAUUGGACAAUGGACCAAGAGUCUGAUCCAGCAAUUCUGUGUGCACGAUGAAGUUUUUCGGAAUGUAAAGUGCUUUCAGUUGGGAAGAAAAAAAUGACGGUACCAACAGAAGAAGUGACGGCUAAAUACGU